GGGCCUGGCGUCCCGCCCUCCCCGGGGAAACGUGAACCGGGGCUUCCUGCCAGGCCUACACCGGGGGAUGAAGAGCUUUUGCUUUGCUGACUGUGAUGAGCACGCCCUUCACUGACCCCGUAUCAGCUCU
rnacentral:snoRNA from 19 species